UACGGAGGGUGCGAGCGUUGUUCGGAAUCACUGGGUGUAAAGGGCGUGUAGGCGGCCUGCUAAGUCUGAUGUGAAAGCCCGGGGCUCAACUUCGGAAGUGCAUUGGAAACUGGCAGACUGGAGUCCCGGAGAGGAGGGUGGAAUUCCUCGUGUAGCGGUGAAAUGCAUAGAUAUCAGGAGGAACACCGGUGGCGAAGGCAGCUCUCUGGACGGUGAUUGACGCUGAGACGCGAAAGCGUGGGGAGCAAACAGG
rnacentral:rRNA from 1 species